GGAAGACUACAACUCUGCAUCCUGGUCUGAACUCUGGGUUGUCAUGCUUUAGGAGUUCUAAUAAAAUCAGCCAUAUUUCUAGAAAUGAGAGCUGCACCAGCCAAAGUGGGAUGGAUGCCGUCUCUCCUAAUCAGACCAGGUUUUCCCCAGAAAGAGCUCCAAUUGUCUAUAAAGCCAAUGUUGUUUGCAGUACACCACGUAGACGACCAGCGGCGAAACGAUGCCAUACGGCUAAACAUAUCAUCGCUGGUCAGAUCAGGCAGGGGUCCAGAGAAAACUACGGAGUCCGACAUGGUUUUGGCAAAGUUACACACCGAUGCCACACAUGCUAUACUAUGAUGUUUGUUGGACGACACGCUAUACUAUAGGCUUUUUUAAUUGACAUGUUACUAUGACGUUUUUUUUGUUUUAGUUUUUUUUUUGUUUUUUAGCAACAUAUAAGAAUUUGAACAGUUUUAAAAAUUACUAUACUUUUACUUGCGCAAUGAAAUACUAUUCUAUGGCAUUUUUAGAUGACACAUUAUACUCUGAUGUUUUCUUGAAUAACAUACUAUUUUGACAAUAUACUGCAGUAUGACAUUUAGGUUUAGUCCUGGGUUUAGUCCAUGUCAUCCUGCUCCUGUGGGACAGAGUUUAGUGUGUGAUUGUAAUUCUGUUCAGUGAAUGGAUAAUUUAUGAAGAUAUGUUUUGUUUUUGCUGAAGCACUUUUUUUUGUUUAGUUGGCUGAUGUGGUCAACUUGAAGCUGUUGAGUGUGUGCGUUAAAGUCCUCCAAGACCAAUGCUACAAAGUGGUUGCUGGAGUUAUUUCAGUGAUGCAGAUAUUUAUGGAAAAUACUGAAAUGUGGUAUGCACAUCCAGCCACAGAACGUUCAUCCAUAUUUUACAUGAAGAACCAUUUUCAGUUCUCCCUGCCCUUGCUGUUUUUUUUCUGCUUUUUUUUAAGCUCAGUCUUUUUUUUUUUAUUAUCCCUUAAUGUUAUCUCUAUAAGAUUUUAACAGGCAAAAUGCUCUUAAAAUACACCACAAUGCAGGAAAUAGGAUCAAUAAUUUUCUAAAUUUUCUGGGGGAGGGCCUUGAGACCCCCCGUCAGCAUCCCGCACAAACCAAAUCUCACUCUAAGGUCUGGUCACAAGUUGGCAGCCCUGUUCAUAUCUAUGGACGUGUCCUAUCUACUGAUUCACAUCUAUGGACGUGUCCUAUCU
ensembl:lncRNA